CCAAGGAGAAAGGGAAUGGAUUUUUUGAUAUGGAGGCAAAACAAGCUGAGAUGAAGCUUAGUCAAGAUGAACAAAGCCAACACUUGGUGAUCUAAAGUUCAUCAUCGAUAAGAAAGCAGAGAGAGAUGCGAUGGUAGCUAGUCUUUAUAAUGCAAGGUUAUCCGAGUUUACUAAGUGGCCUCGUUUACUGCUGCUUUCUGCGUACCACAUAUGACAUAUGGCACCAGUGAUUCUCUGUUUGUCCACGGGAAAAGCCUUUUUCAAUGCAACCAAGGUAAGGAGGACCAAAGAUAAGCUGGAAUCUCACAUACUACAAGAGGAGGGCAACUACAUCUAUAGGUUUGACAAUGAGGGCCUCCAUGUUUUUGUCAGUGUAAACGGACUCGGAUAAAAAGACCUCACGGGCCUUAUCUAUGAUGAUUUGCUUCUCGUGGCCGCCUCUGCUGAAGACUCUCCGCCUGCCACAAGGAUGAAGCAUCUCAUCAAAAUACCUGCUUUGAACUACGAUCAUGACAAGAUAACUGCUGACAUCGUGGAUGGAGGUGAUUUGCAGAUCUCCUUUCCUCUUGCACACACAAGAGGGGUAGCACGACCUAUCUGGUACCCAGUGAAGUUCAAUUAAUACAAAAAAAGUCAGGCAAGCAAUAAAUUCUGGAAUUGGUAUCGGUAUUAAUUACUAGGCUAUCAAGUUAUUUGUGUUAUUAAAAAAUUUGGAAAAUUUGCCUCAUAGUCUUUCUUAAUUAUGUGUAGUGACAGUAUUAUCAUUAUCAUUAGUUACUAUAAGCAUUAGCAGUACCUCUCUUGAUA